rnacentral:lncRNA from 1 species
GGUCCCCCCAUAUAGCUGAGGGUGGCCUCAGACUCCUGAGUGCUGAGAUUCCAGAGGUCCAAAGAGGGUGUCAGAUCACCUCGAACUGGAGCUACAGAUGACAGUGAGCUGCCAUGGACAAACCUGCUCAUCAGUACGUGGGCCAACGGACCGACGAGAAACUGUCAAAGGAAGGACGAGGGGGAGGCUUGAGCGAUGACUCAGCAGUGCUCUGGCAGAGCGCCCAGAAAAGAGCAGGCCUCCCAGGGAUAUCAACUGAAGAGGGAACAUGACACAAGACAAGGCACAAACCUUCAUCUCAAGGCUGGAUGAGGUGACCCAGUAGGAGGAAAGGGUCCCAAGAGCAGGCAAAAGAGUCAGAGACAGCCCUUCUCCCACUGCUAGGCGUUCUACAAAAACACCAAGCUAACAGCCACAGCAUGUGUGCACAUGACUUAACAGAGACCCAGUUCUUCCUCCGUCCGACUCCUCUUCAGGGAUCCUGGAAUUCCAAGGGGAAGAUGAAUCCAAUGAAGAACUCCAACUUGGGCUUUCUCUCCACCUAAUGUCUGCCUGGGGGCUCUCUGCAUCUGUUCCCAACCACUGCUGGGGGAAGCCUCUCUGAGGAUGACUGGGCGAGGCACUGAUCUGUGGGUAGACCAGAAUAUCAUUG